UACGUAGGGGGCGAGCGUUGUCCGGAUUUAUUGGGCGUAAAGGGCGCGUAGGCGGUCCGACAAGUCAGGGGUGAAAUCUUGCAGCUUAACUGUAAAAGUGCCUUUGAUACUGUCGGUCUUGAGGGAAAUAGGGGUGUGCGGAACUUCCAGUGGAGCGGUGAAAUGCGUUGAUAUUGGAAGGAACGCCGGAGGCGAAAGCGGCGCACUGGAUUUCUUCUGACGCGUGAGGCGGCGAAAGCUAGGGGAGCAAACGGG
rnacentral:rRNA from 1 species